UUAAUCUACUCCUACAUCGCCUGGGAACUACGAGCUAAGCUUAAAACCCAAAGGACUUGACGGUACCCCAUAUCCCCCUAGAGGAGCCUGUCCUAUAAUCGAUAAUCCCCGUUUAACCUCACCAUUUUUUGCCAGUAGCCUGUAUACCUCCGUCGUCAGCUUACCACGUGAGCGUCAGUGAGCCUAAUGUUUUUCCAACUACACGUCAGGUCAAGGUGCAACAUAUAAAAUGGGAAGAGAUGGGCUACACUUUCUACUAUAGAAUAAACGAAAGACUAAAUGAAACCUAGUCAGAAGGCGGAUUUAGCAGUAAAAUGAAACUAGAGCGUUCACUUAAAUGCGGCACUGGGGUGUGUACACACCGCCCGUCACCCUCCUCAACUCUGCAUAAAAGUUUUUAACACCUUUCCAGAGACUCAGAAGAGGCAAGUCGUAACACGGUAAG
rnacentral:rRNA from 1 species